UGGGGAAUAUUGCGCAAUGGGGGAAACCCUGACGCAGCGACGCCGCGUGUGGGAUGAAGGUCUUCGGAUUGUAAACCACUGUCGCGAGGGACGAAGCUCUGACGGUACCUCGAAAGGAAGCACCGGCUAACUCUGUGCCAGCAGCCGCGGUAAUACAGAGGGUGCGAGCGUUGUCCGGAAUCACUGGGCGUAAAGGGCGCGUAGGCGGCCCGGUAAGUAGGGGGUGAAAUCUCAUGGCUCAACUGUGAGGCUGCCUUCUAGACUGCCAGGCUUGAGCACAGUAGAGGCGAGUGGAAUUCCCGGUGUAGCGGUGGAAUGCGUAGAGAUCGGGAAGAACACCGGUGGCGAAGGCGGCUCGCUGGGCUGUUGCUGACGCUGAGGCGCGAAAGCGUGGGGAGCAAACAGGAUUAGAUACCCCAGUAGUCCCUGAGCGGGCUGGCAAGGCGCAU
rnacentral:rRNA from 1 species